rnacentral:rRNA from 1 species
CCCGAGAGAUCGGGCGUUCCCCCUUUCGGGGGGACAGGGUGACAGGUGGUGCAUGGUUGUCGUCAGCUCGUGUCGUGAGAUGUUGGGUUAAGUCCCGCAACGAGCGCAACCCUUGACCUUAGUUGCCAGCGAGUCAAGUCGGGCACUCUAAGGUGACUGCCGGCUAAAAGUCGGAGGAAGGUGGGGAUGACGUCAAAUCAUCAUGCCCCUUAUGACCUGGGCUACACACGUGCUACAAUGGGCGGUACAAAGGGUCGCGAACCCGCGAGGGGGAGCCAAUCCCAAAAAGCCGCUCUCAGUUCGGAUUGCAGGCUGCAACUCGCCUGCAUGAAGCCGGAAUCGCUAGUAAUCGCGGAUCAGCAUGCCGCGGUGAAUACGUUCCCGGGCCUUGUACACACCGCCCGUCACACCACGAGAGUUUGCAACACCCGAAGUCGGUGAGGUAACC